CUACGUGCCAGCAGCCGCGGUAAUACGGAAGGUCCAGGCGUUAUCCGGAUUUAUUGGGUUUAAAGGGAGCGUAGGCUGGAGAUUAAGUGUGUUGUGAAAUGUAGACGCUCAACGUCUGAAUUGCAGCGCAUACUGGUUUCCUUGAGUACGCACAACGUUGGCGGAAUUCGUCGUGUAGCGGUGAAAUGCUUAGAUAUGACGAAGAACUCCGAUUGCGAAGGCAGCUGACGGGAGCGCAACUGACGCUUAAGCUCGAAGGUGCGGGUAUCAAACAGGAUUAGAUAUCCUGGUAGUCCGCACAGUAAACGAUGGAUGCCCGCUGUUGGUACCUGGUAUCAGCGGCUAAGCGAAAGCAUUAAGCAUCCCACCUGGGGAGUACGCCGGCAACGGUGAAACUCAAAGGAAUUGACGGGGGCCCGCACAAGCGGAGGAACAUGUGGUUUAAUUCGAUGAUACGCGAGGAACCUUACCCGGGCUUGAAUUGCAGAGGAAGGAUUUAGAGAUA
rnacentral:rRNA from 1 species